rnacentral:rRNA from 1 species
GGUCCCACGAAUYUGGUUUGUGGGAUUUGGCCUGCCCAAUGAUUUAUAUUGAAUGGCCGCGGUAUUUUGACCGUGCAAAGGUAGCAUAAUCAUUAGUCUCUUAAUUAGGGUCUGGAAUGAAGGGCUGGACAAGGGGGGCUCUGUCUUAGAUUAAUACGUUUGAAUUUUACUUUUGAGUGAAAAGGCUUAAAUUUUCUUGGGGGACGAUAAGACCCUAUAGAGCUUUAUUCCUAACUGCUAGGGCUAGUAGUAGGGGAUUUUGUUGGGGUGACGGGGAGAUACAUGUAACUCUCCUUUGUAGGGAUUAUUUAUUAAUAUGAGUUGUGAUCCAUUAGGUUUGAUAGAAGGAUUAAGUUACCUUAGGGAUAACAGCGUAAUCCCCUUUGAGAGUUCAUAUCGACAAGGGGGAUUGCGACCUCGAUGUUGGAUUAAGGAGUUUUAGUGGUGGAGAGGCUACUAAGGAGGGUCUGUUCGACCCUUAAAUCUUUACA